rnacentral:lncRNA from 1 species
GUGAAGGCCUCCCUGAUCUGGCAAAUGUGACAAUGUGAAGUGCAUAUAUCUGACUCGGAGAAAGGAGUGAAAAGCAGCAGAGAGAUGAGGCGGAUGGCCCAAAGGGUUUCACAGGAGGCAAGUUCCUGAAGGGCCUUCCCUGUGCUUCUCCAUGCUUCCAAGCUGCUGCUCAGAUCAAAGGAAAUGGCUCCAAGGAGGCUGCAGAGGGAGACCACGCAUGCCAGCAGGAUCCUUUGAGCUGUUUUUCUACCACCCGUGUUGGAGAAGGAGGAAUAUCUAAAAGAAAGAAAUGAAAGAAAAAAGGAAAAGAGGGGUGGGAAGAGGCAGAAAAUGGUGGGAAAGAGACAGUUCUUGUGAUGCUGAGAUGGAAUUGUGCCGUUGUCCCGUGAGUAUGAAGAGUGAUACGAUCAUUUGCAGGCUGCUGAACAGGAGAGAGGUUUGCAGCAAUGCUGCCAGCACCAUUCCUGCUGCUAAACCCCAACAACACCCUGGGGUGUCACGGGGUGCCUUCCAUAAAUGCACUUUGCAGUGCUGCCACACUCACCUGUGCUGACCUGCUGGCACCCGUGCUGCCUUCACGCCGGGCAUCUCCGCUGCUGGUCCCAGUGCGUCCCACUCAGAUCCCAUCUGCUGCCUGCCCGCCUCCUGCUAUGCCAGUGCUUUGCUUCCUCGCCCCUCUACCCUCAGAGUUGUUCCCAUGGCUCUCCACUCUUCUGAUCCUCGCUCCCCUCACAGCAGGCUCACAUCCCCCAGGUGAAUAUCAAGCUCCAUCCCGAGGUAGGGGAAAGGCUUUAAAAGGUCCUCAGCAUUAUCAUGAAAUACGUGCUCCUCUCUUGACAGUGCACAAGAAGAAAUGACAGGCACAGUCUUUCAUGUUGCAAAAAACAGUGUUUAUUGCAGUUAAAAGCAUAAUUUCCCAGCUAUCAGUGAUCAAAGGUGUCAUGAUUAUGACUUCAUUCAAACUGUUGUUCUUGGCACUGUUCUCAUCUGUC